UCAGCGGUCAGCUCUCUUAGGCGUGGAAGAGCAGACGACCAAGGAGCCUCCCUGGCCGGUCCUUCCCAGGCCUAGGCAGAAAUACGUUGUUACAGAUACAGCUCCUCCUUUCUCUUCAUACUCUUGGGGAUCCUCGGAAGAGAAGUCCAUGACUAUACUUCUUUCAUCUUCUAUUGCUUAAGAUGGACUGCACCAGUUCUAGAAGAGACCCUGAAAAUGUCACUUGCACGGUCCUAAGAGGAAGGCUGGCCUUCAGCUCACUUUGCAGCCCAGACUAGUCUGGAAUUCACAAUGAUCCUCCUGCUUCAGCCUCCUAAGUGCUGGGAUUACAGGAUCUAAUUUGCUCAAGCUGGCCUUGAAUUUGUGAUCCUCCUGUCUCAAUUUCUGGAGUGGCUGGGCUUACAGCCAGCUAUGAAUGGUGGCCUGCCAUGCUACCCUGCCGCUUAGACAACUGAGUAUGGACUGAAACCUCUAAGAACUAACGGGCCUCACUAUGUAGUCCAGGCUGGCCUUGAACCCACUAUGGAGCCCAACUGACCUUGAACGCAUGGUUAUCCUCCUGCCUCAGCCUCCUGAGAGAUUACAAGCAUAUACCACCACACCCAGAUUCCUCAGCCUGGCAUUCCAGGGAUACCUCUGCCAUCUGACCUGGACCUACUGGCUCAUGCCCACCCUUCCUAAUCCAGGUGCAAACUGAUGAUCAGUCACUCAGCCUUUCCUUGGCUCUAACACAGCCUUUCUUGGUUGGUCAUUUUAUUCUAGUGCCUCUAGACUGGGGUAUUUUUUUUCUGGUUUUCUUUUAUUGAAAAUUUUUCAAAUGCUGUUUGUUUGUUUGUUUAAUAUAUAUACCAAGAAUUGAACUCAGGACCUCGCAGGUGCUGUGCCACUGAGCUAUGUUCCCUGGCCCAGAAUUUCCAUAUUCUUCAAAACCCAACUAAAAAAAUCUUUCUGAAGCCCUCCACAGUCUUUGAAUUUUUAUUUUUUUUUUCUGCAGUACAUAUUAGGGGUCGAAGCCAGGGUCGUCCCACCAAAAAGCUAUUUCUCCAGUCCUUUUUAAUUUUUUUUUAUUUCGAGACAGUCUUGAUAAAUUGAUAAUGGCUCAGGCUGGGCUCCUACUUGCAAUCCUCUUGUCUCAGCCUCCCAGAAUGCUGGGAUUACAGGCACGCACCACCAUACCUAACUGCAUUCUGAUCUUUUUCUGCAACACUUAACAGUCAGUAUCCCCAGAAUGAACACGAUUUAUGUAGUUUUCUAUUAUUUCCUGGCCAGCUGUCAGCUCCCUGAGGGCUCCCCAGAUUUUUGGCUCUUAGACCAGCACCUGGCAAUGAGUAGGUGCUCCAUAAAUGUGCAGUAGUUCAGACACGCCCUCGCUGAGAGGGCCUUUGCUCUCCUGGCAGUCUCAGCACUGCCUUUAGAUGCCGCCUUGAACGCAAGGCAUGUCAGUUGCCCAGGAUACCUGUGUUCUGGAUUUCCUCUCUCAGAUGCUUAUUUCCCCAGUGUGUGCUCCCAGUCAAGGACAUGUGGGACCCUGCGAUUGUGCUCGAUCCAAAUGUCACUUAGAAACAGCCCACCAAGGCUCGCUUCUGCCCCACCUCUAUGGGGGAGGGCUCUCUUCCAGCCAGGAUCUUCUGGGCUCUCAACAACUGGGCACCACUAGACGCAGCAAGUCCCCCAUCCCGUUGUGGACGCGCCUCAAAUUAUUUAGCCCAUUACGGAGGAGGAGACGAAAGUCACUUGUGGCGCCCCCUCUCCCCACCGAAUAGCGACCUUAGGGACUCUGGCGCAUCUGGAGCCUGUGCUGGAAGCGCAAGCCAAGCGGUCGACCUCGCUCCAGCUGCGCUUCUGACCGUGGUCAGAAA